AUGGAACUGGAGAAGAUAGGAAGCCUCUUAGAUUCCCUAAAGAAAAUAAAGGAAAAUUUGAAUACAGACAAAAAUUCUUGGCAAGAGAAGAGGAGAAAACACAUGCAAAUGGAAAGUGGUAUGGGAGAACUUAGAAAGAAACUGGACUCAAUGGCAAGUCGAAUUGAAAUGGUACAGCAAAGACUACUAGAGAGUAAAAAAAUAAUCAAAAAACGUGGCCAGAGUUUCACUGAUGCAGCCCACCAAGAGACCGAAAUUGGGCCUGUAGAAGAUCAGAAAGACCUUAAACUCCCCAAAGACAAUGUAGGAAGAUCUAAAUACAGAAAAAUGCCAAAAGAACAAAGACUAUUAGACAGUGAAGAAAGAGUCAAAGAACAUGACCAGAGUUGGACUGAUGAAGCCCACCAGGAGACCAAAAAUGGACCUGGAGAAGACCAGGAAGGCCUUAGACUCCCCAAAAAGAAUAAAGUAAGAUCUGAAGACAGACAAAAGUUAGUAGAGCAAACAAUAGCAGACAGUGAAAGCAGAGACAAAGAACAUGACCAGAAUUGGACUGAUGAAGCCCACCAGGAGACCAAAAAUGGACCUGGAGAAGACCAGGAAGGCCUUAGACUACUCAAAAAGAAUAAAGUAAGAUCUGAAGACAGACAAAAGUCAGUAGAGCAAACAAUAGCAGACAGUGAAAGCAGACUCAAAGAACAUGACCUGAAUUGGACUGAUGAAGCCCACCAGGAGACCAAAAAUGGACUUGGAGAAGACCAGAAAGGCCUUAGACUCCCCAAAAAGAAUAAAGUAAGAUCUGAAGACAGACAAAAGUCAGUAGAGCAAACAAUAGCAGACAGUGAAAGCAGACUCAAAGAACAUGACCUGAAUUGGACUGAUGAAGCCCACCAGGAGACCAAAAAUGGACCUGGAGAAGAUCAGAAAGGUAUUAGACUCCUCAAAGAGAAUAAUGGAAGAUCUGAAUACAGACAAAAAGCAGUAGAGGAAAUAAUAGCAGACAGUGAAAUCAGAGUCAAAGAACAUGACCAGAAUUGGACAGAUGAAGCCCACCAGAAGACCAAAAAUGGACCGGGAGAAGAGUGGAAAAAGCUUAAACUCCUUAAAAAGAAUGUAGGAAGAUUUGGAUACAGAACACAAUUAGCAGAGCAAAGAAGACCAGACAGUAAAAGCAGAGUCAAAGAUCAUGAUCAGAGUUUGUCUGACUUGAAAAGAAAAAAACCUAGAGACAAGGCAGUAGAAAAUUUUGUUCUACAAGGCAGACAGAUAAUUUAG
rnacentral:lncRNA from 1 species